GUUGAGGUAGCAGGUACUGCAGCAGCAACAGAGUAUGAUCAUUAUUCGCUGACAUGAUAUAAAUUAUAAAGCCUAGUGGGAUUCUGUAGUUACCUGAUUUAUGUCGUCAGAACAGAUGGGACUCUGAGUUAAGGAAGGGUCAACAAUAACGAGCGUCUGCUUCACUUCACUGAUAUUGCACUGAAUUAAAUGGAACUGUUUGUCGCUGUCCUGUAAGAUUUGUUGUUGGGUGGAAAUACUGUGGUUCCAGAAAUAUUAUCGGAUUCGUCAACAUCAGGAUCAUCUACAACUUGUCUUCUUUGAUUACAUUGACAUCAAACUGCCUAAAGUGACGCUGCUUGCAGGCAAGAUAAAGGAGGGAAUUCCAUAGGGUCAACAGCAGCCAAUUCUAACCAAGUCGAAUUGCCACCGCUCGCAUCCGCCACUGAUUUUUUUACACUUGUAUGACGAGCCAUCAACUCCACUGAUUGGAACAUUGUUUCUUGAUGGAAGCUCCUUUGGGAAUACAAUCCUUUUCAUAUGGAAAGUUGAGACCAGCAGGGAUUGUCUCCAUGGUGAAUAUAUUUGCUCACUUUUUAAUUGAUGCAUAUGAUGAUAUUUAUUCACAGAAGAUUAAUGGUAUGAUCUGUUAGGUUGUAAAGAAGUCAAUUUGCUAGCAAAUUGUAGUGGUUAGCGCAAUGGGGGCAUCGGAGUUCAGAGUUCAGUUCUGCUGUGGUCUGUAAGGAGUUUGUACGUUCUCUCCGUGACCACGUGGGUUUCCUCCGGGUGCUCCGGUUUCCUCCCACAGUCCAAAGACGUACCAGUUAGUAGGUUAUUUGGUCAUUGUAAAUUGUCCUGUGAAUAGGCUAGGGCCAAAUAGGUGGGUCGCUAAACUGGAAGGGUACGUAUGUAUCUCUAAAAAUAAAAAUAAAAGAGAUUAUAAAACUUCUUUGGUGCAAUCAAAGUGUUCAGUUGUUUGCCUAUGUGCUUGGCUGGGAUUUUUCCCAUAUAAAUGAAACUAGAAACGCAUUUAUCUAUUACGUUUAUCUAGUAAAAGAAUAUCCGGCUACAUUCUAUGAAGUAUGGCCAAUAAUCCACUUACUCAGCAAGAUGUUCAUAUUACGAGGUGUGAUUGAACUCUCUGCUAAAUCCAGGGAUAAAGCAAAUUCAGUUCCAACUGCCUGGCCUGAAAGAUUGCAAGUAAUUAAUGACUAGUAUUAAGUGGGAGUGAUUAUAACCUUCAUAAAGACUCAGCUCCUUACUGUACUCUGCCCUCAAUGACAAUGUGGCCAAAUUCUGCUCCAACCCCAUUUACAAGUUUGCAAGUAACACCACCAUAGUGGGCUGGAUUCCAAACAAUGACUCAGAAUACGAAGAGAAAGAUUCACUUUAUUUGCCACAUGUACAUUGAAGCAUACAGUGAAAUGCAACGUUUACGUCAAACCAAAUCAGCAAGGAUUUCCUGCUUUCAGAGCAAACAGCAUGCCCACAACCUACUAACCCGAACUGUACUUCUUCGGAAUGUGGAGGGAACUGCGCGGUCACGGAGGGAAAGUACAAACUCCUUACAGUAGUAGCGGGAAUUGAACCCUGAUCUUACAGGUGGCUCUGUAAAGCAUACACACUGCACUACCGUGACAAGCCCAAGGAGAAGGAGCAGGAGGUCCUAAAAUAAGGAGAUGGAGAGCUUAGAGGCAUGUUGUCAAGACAACAACCUUUCUCUCAAUGUCAGCAAAAAAAAGAGAGCUUGUUAUAGACUUCAGUAAGUGAGUGGAGGACACACGCCUGUCUGUAUCAAUGGUGAUGAAAUUGAGAUGGCUGGUAACUUUGAGCUUCAAGGUAUAAAUAUCAUCAAAAAUUUAUCUUGGUCCAACUGCAUUAACACCAUGGCAAAGAAAGCAUACUAAUGCCUCUACUUCCUCAGAAGGUGAGGGGAAUUUGGCAUUUUCAAGGGAGGAUGAGGCAACUGGGACAGGUUAGGGCAAUAUGCAAAGAAUUGACCGAUGGAAUGCAGUUCAGAGUAGAAGGAAUAAAGGCACAGGUUAUUUUUCUAAACAGGGAGCAAAUUCAGAAAUUUGAGAUGCAAAUGGACUUCGGAGUCUCAGGAUUCCCUAAUGGUUAACUCUUGUAGGUUGAAUUGGUGGUAAGGAAAGCAAAUGCAAAAAUAUUGAAGUGCAGCAGGCUAGCCACACUAGAGCGUCAAAGAGACAAUCUUUUAAUGUGAAAACUAAACCCAAACAACACUGAUGAAUCACUUCAUCUUCGUUGUUUUGAUCUGCUUUCCUGUGAAUGAUCCACACUUGGCAGUGAUCAAGUUUAUAGUAAAUCAUUUUCGUGAGAGAUGUAGCCUUAUGGGGACUGGUGGAGUGAACUGAAAGUAAAUAUGUGAGAUUAACUUCCUACAUCUUUUUUUGUAUGGAAACAUACAAACACUCAAAGUUAUAUUGUGCUCUACGCACACCAGGCAAUCAAGUUUAUACCUCAGUUCAACGUAGUAAGCCACUAACGAACAUUAGGAAUGCAACUGUUUCUUGGCUUGUCAUCAGUUGAAAAGGAGAAGGUAUUAAAAAGCAGUCAAGUUUACAGUUGUACAAAGAUUUUGGAAUUCCAUGGAUGUUUCCAAAUGAUAAAAUUAUGUAAGUAAUUGUGCUAUACUUUCAAAGUUUUUCUUUAAGUCUAACUAAUAAUUAUCUGUUAAUUGGAAUUUUUAUUUUGGUAAUAGAACACAGAAACAGCCCUUUGGCCCAUCCAGCCCAUGUUGAACCAUUGAUCUGCCUAGCCCCAUCAACCUCCACCCGGACCAUAGCCCUCCGUACCCCUCCUAUCCAUGUACCUAUCCAAAUUUCUCGUAAAUGUUGAAGUUGGACCUGCAUCCAUUGCUUGAGCUGGCAGUUCAUUCUAAGGAUGAUGUCAUUCUGCUUUAAAUGAACUAGCAGUUCUUUUGCCUCUUUGGAAUUUGACGGAGUGAAUCAAUAAUUUCUUCAAUAUAAACCGUACAACUAAGCCAUUUCUAAAACCUGCAGACAAGUCAUCGCAAACUCCAUGUUGUUCACACCGUUCGCAUCAGGAUCCGGAAAAGGAAAUGUAAUUGUGUAUGAUCAUGAAAUAUUCCUAACAUGCCAACGAGGGAGAGGAUGAUAGCCUUUUGUGUGCCUUUUAAAUCCCUUUGUGCGCUAUAGCAAAAGAUGUGUGCAUACAAACAUACUAUCACCUUAGAGGGAACGUUUCCCUAUGUUCCUCUAAAACUUUUUACCUUUCACCCCUAACCUAUGACCUUUUCACCCAACUUCAGUGGAAAAAGUCUGCUCGACUUUACCCUAUUUAUACUCCUCAUCGUUUUGUAUAUGUCUGAAAUCUCCCCUCCAUCAUCUAUGUUCUAGAGAAUGAAGUCUCAGCCUAUUUAACCCUUCCCUUGAACUCAGUUCCUCAAGACCUGGCAAAAUCCUUGUAAGUUUUCUGUGCACUCUUAUAAUCUUAUUGAUAUCCUCCCUGCAGGUAGGUGACCAAAACUGCACACAAUACUGAAAAUCAGGCCUUGCCAAUGUCUUAUACAAUUUCCACUUAACGUCACAACUCCUAUGCAACAGAGACACGGCAUAAGAGAUGUCUACUCCGCUGGAUGUAAGAAGUAAGAUUAAUGCAAGUACAAAUACCAUACAUUGAUUCAUGAAUUCAAUAUGCCAAAAGCUCUCUUUAUGACCCUAUCUACCUGUCAAUCCACAUUCAAGAAAUUAUAGAUCUGUGUUCCCAGAUCUCUCUGUUCUACUACGCUCCUCAGUGCCUUCCUGCUCACCGUAUAAGACCUCCCCUGGUUGUUCUCCUCAAGAUGCAACACCUCACACUUGUCUGCAUUAAAUUCCAUCUGCUAAUUUUCAGCCCACUUUUCCGGCUGGCCCAGAUCCCGCUGCAAGCUUUAGCGGUCUUCUUUGGCGUCAACUCACCCCUAAUCUUGGUGUCAUCUGCAAAUGUGCUGAGCCAGUUUACCACAUUAUCACCUAGAUCUUUGAUAUAGAUGACAAACAACAGUAGACCCAGCACCGAUCCCUGUGGCACACCACCAGUCACAGGCCUCCCGUCAGAGAGGCAACCAUCUUCUCCCGUGGAGCCGAGGUCUAAUUCAAUUUACUACUUCAUCUUGAAAGCCAAGCAACUGAACUUUCUUGACCAACCUCCCAUGGGGGACCAUUUCAAAGACCUUGCUAAGGUCUACUGCCUUGCCUUCAUCAAAUAUCUCGGCAACUUCCUUGAAAAACUAUAAGAUUGGUUAGACACAAUCUACCAUGAACCAAAUCAUGUUGACUAUCCCUAUCUAUCCAAAUACUUGAAUAUCUGAUUCCUUAGAAUACCUUCCAAUAACUUUCCCACUACUAAUGUCAGGCUCACCGGCCUGUAAUUUCCUAGCUAAUUCUCAGAGCCUUUCUUAAACAAUGGAACAACAUGAGCUAUCCUCCGAUCCUCCGGUACCUCACCCCGUGGUGAAGGAUGUUUUAAGUAUCUCUGCUGGAGAGCCUGCAAUUUCUGCACUAGCCUCUCACAAGGUCUGAGGGAAAAUCUUGUUAGGGCCUGGGGAUUUAUCCUCCCGAUGGUUAGCAAUCGUCCUCCUCUGUAAUCUGCACAGUGUCCAUUACCUCACUGCUGAUUUGCCCCACUUCUAUAGACUCUGUGUUCAUCUCCCGAGGAAAUACUGCCGCAAAGAAUCCAUUAAAGGUCUCCCCAUUUGCUUUUGGCUCCACGCGUAGAUUACCCUUCUGAUCUUCCUGAGGACAAGUUUUGUCCCUUGCUAUCGCUUUGCUCCUAAUGUAUCUGCGGAAGCUCUUAGAACGGUCCUCCACCUUGUCUGCUAGAGCAAUCUCAUGUCUUCUUUUAGCCUUUCUCAUUCCCUUCUGAAGUGCUCUCUUGCAUUUCUUAAAUUUCUCGAGUUACUUAUUUGUUCUCACCUGCCUAUACCAGCUGUGAACCUCCUGCUUUUUCUUAACCAGUGCCUCAAUAUCCCUCAAAAAGCAAAGUUCCCUGAACCUGUAAUCCUUGACUUUUAUUCCGACAGGAACAUACGAAAAGUGUACUCUCAAAAUUUCACUUCUGAAGGCUUUCCACCUCCCAAGUACACCUUUGCCAGAAAACAGCCCGUCCCAGAUUGUUUCUUGAUUGAAAACUUGCCAGAUUCUUUCUGAUACCAUCAACAUUGGCCUUUGUGCAGUUUAGAAUCUCAGCCUGAGGACCAGACCUAUCCUUUUCCAUAACUACCUUAAAGCUAAUGGUACUACGUUCACUGGAUGCAACAUAUUCCCCUACGCAAGCAUCUGUCACUUGCCCUGUCUCAUUACCCGAUAGGAGAGCUAAUAUCACCUUUUCUCUGGUUGGACUUCCAUGUACUGAUUAAGAAAACUUUUCUGAAUGCAUUUGUCAAGUUCUUUCCCACCUAGCCUUUUUAUAGUAUGGGAGUUCCAGUCAAUAUGGAAAAAAAUCAAAACCGUAUAGUAUCACAACCUUAUGUUUCUUGCGAUCUCCGUACAGAUUUGCUCCUCUGAAUCCUGCUGACGGUUUGGUGGCCUAUGUAAUAUAAUCCCAUUAGUAUGGUCGCACCUUUCUUAUUCCUCUCUUCUACCCCCUAAGCCUCACUCAACCAGCUCUCCAGUCAGCCCUGUCUGAGCACUGCUGUGACAUUUUUCCUGAAAAUGCCACCUCUUCCACUUUAAUCCCUCGUGCUUUAUCACAUCUAGUACAAUGAAACCCUGGAACACUGAGCUGCCAGUCCUGCCCCUCCUGAAACCAAGUCUCACUAGUGGCUACAAUGGCAUAAUUCCAGGUGCUGAUCCUAGCCCUUAAACUCACCCGCCUUUCCUACAAUACUUCUUGCAUUGAAAUAUAUGCUGCUCAGAACAGUAGACCUACCAUGCUCAUCCUUUCAGUUCCUGACUUUGUAUGUAGGUUUAACACCAUCUUUCUCCACAACCAUUCUAUCUGUUCUGCUGCUCUGGUUUCCAUAGCCCUGCAACUCUUGUUUAACCAACCCCCCCCCCCCCCCACCUCACUAGCAAACCUUCCCUCCAGGAUAUUGGUCCCCUUCCAGUUCGGGUACAAACUGUUUCUUCUGUACAGGUCCCACCUUCCCUGGAAGAGAGCCCAAUCAUCCAAAAAACUGAAGCCCUCCCUCCUACUCCAACUCCUUAGCCACAGUUUAAACUGUAUGAUCUUCCUAGCUCUGGCCUCACUAGCACGUGGCAUGGGUAGCAAUCCCGAGAUCACAGCCCUGGAGAUCCUGUCCUUUAACUUAGCACCUAGCUCCCUGAAUUCACUUUAUGGGACCUCGUCACCUCCC